GUGUUUAUUUCAGCAGCACUUAUAAGAUAAGAACAAUGCAAAAAAGAUUAGCAUGGGCUCUGUGCAAUGAUGAUAUACAAAUUCAUGAAGUCUUCCAUAAUUUA